GACGUAGGAGGCGAGCGUUGUCCGGAUUCAUUGGGCGUAAAGAGCGCGCAGGCGGCUUGGUAAGUCGGAUGUGAAAUCCCGAGGCUCAACCUCGGGUCUGCAUCCGAUACUGCCCGGCUAGAGGUAGGUAGGGGAGAUCGGAAUUCCUGGUGUAGCGGUGAAAUGCGCAGAUAUCAGGAGGAACACCGGUGGCGAAGGCGGAUCUCUGGGCCUUACCUGACGCUCAGGCGCGAAAGCGUGGGGAGCAAACGGG
rnacentral:rRNA from 1 species